GGUUUCUUGAUCAUAUUUAGGAAAUCUAACCUGCCCACUGAAGCAAUUUUGAAGGGCCGCAGUAUUUUGACUGUGCAAAGGUAGCAUAAUCAUUAGUCUUUUAAUUAAGGGCUGGUAUGAAUGGUUGGACGAGGUAGAUUCUGUUUUAUAUUAAUUGAAAUUGAAUUUAGAUUUUAAGUUAAAAUACUUAAAUGUUAUUAAGGGACGAGAAGACCCUAUAGAGUUUAAUAAAUUAAAUAAUUAAUUGAGUUAAUAUCUAAUUUUUAAUUUUUAUAGAAUUUAUUUAAUUGGGGUGAUUAAAAGAUAUAAUUAACUCUUUUUUGAUAUUAAUAUUAUUAAUAGUUUUAAGAUCCAUUAAUGAUGAUUAAAAGAUUAAAUUACCUUAGGGAUAACAGCAUAAUUCUUUUUAAGAGUUCAUAUCGAAAAAAGAGAUUGUGACCUCGAUGUUGGAUUAAGAUUAGUUUUGGGUGUAGAUGUUCAUAAACUAGGUCUGUUCGACCUUGAAAAUCUUACA
rnacentral:rRNA from 1 species